UACGUAGGUGGCAAGCGUUGUCCGGAUUUACUGGGCGUAAAGAGCGCGCAGGCGGUCGAUCAAGUCGCGUGUGAAAGCCCCCGGCUCAACUGGGGAGGGUCACGCGAUACUGAUCGACUCGAAGGCAGGAGAGGGUAGUGGAAUUCCCGGUGUAGUGGUGAAAUGCGUAGAUAUCGGGAGGAACACCAGUGGCGAAGGCGGCUUUCUGGUCUGCUCUUGACGCUGAGGCGCGAAAGCUAGGGUAGCAAACGGG
rnacentral:rRNA from 1 species